rnacentral:lncRNA from 8 species
AUGAGUGGGCUUCAAAGUGAAACAAAAUCAGAGGAUAUGGGCAAUCUAGACCUUUUGUCAUCCGCCCAAACGUUUAUUCACACAGGAAAUUCUAUUAGACUGGCCCGGGUUGAGCCGGGCAAUGGCCCGUCACAUCAUCGGGCGAAAACUGCGAGGGAGGAGCACCCUUCUCAAAUCAAACAGCAAUCUGCGCCGCUCGGUCAUGUUGUCAACAAGGCAACUAGGUGCAUCGUCCAAAAACGUACAUCUCUUUUCCAUAAAAUAAAUCCGACUUCGCCGUCGUCGGCCAAAGCAGGUUACCUGGCCCAGGCCCGGGAGGCAGCCUGAUUCCAAAACGAAUGCAAUCACUUUUCACCCGGUUUAAACUCCCUCCACCGCGGUAACCAGGCCAGAUAAACAAACCCCCUCAUUGUGCUAGCCCUGUGCGCGCUCACACACCCACACGUUAUCGUAAUCGCGCCCCGCCCCGUCCGCGAGUAGACUCUAGUCGCUCGCCUCAAACCAACUCUCUCUACUGUAUCGAUGAAGUUGUUUCAAAGAUGGCGGAUUUCCUGCCGUCCCGGUCCGUUUUAUCUGUAUGUUUUCCAAACUGUCUCCUCACGAGUAACGAGGCAGAACAAUUAAGGAAAUCUAAAGAAAUAGACAAAAGUAUUUCACGGGAUAAGACGUAUGUGAAGCGGCUGGUGAAGAUUCUGCUACUCGGAGCGGGAGAAAGCGGCAAGUCCACUUUCCUGAAGCAGAUGCGCAUCAUCCAUGGUCAGGACUUCGAUCAAAGGGCCAAAGAAGAGUUCAAGGCCACGAUUUUUAGUAAUGUAAUUAAAGGUAAGGCACUUUAGGUUGUUCGUUGUACUUUAUACAACGUCACUGGUGAGUUUUUCGGGGCCUUUGUUGACUUAUUUGCUCUGUUCAAGAGUUCAUGUCUGAGUGGGAAGUAGCCAGCCAGCUAGCAUGCUAACAGUAGCCGUAACUUGUGCUUGGUAUGUUUGCUAGCUAGCUAUGUUGAGAGGACGGGCGUACUCACAUCUGUUUCUUCGCUAGCCUAGUUAGCUAGCUAACACACACAAAGCUAGAAGAAACGCCCAUGUUAUUUGAAAGUGUUUGUGCACAGUGGGAUUUGAAGAGAUGAGGCCACACAGACAGAGCGGUGUUUCCCAUUGAACAUGAUUCAGUUGUCUAAGUAUAUCUCCUGAUAUCACGCGUAUUGUUUGUCCCAUGUCAGUAUUAUUCAGGGGUUGGAAAAUAGUAUGACAGUUUAUCAGCUGUUUUUAUCAGGCAGUUUACCAGCUAGCAGUAAGCUUUGGCUAGCUAAUGCGCUAGCUAGCUUUGUUGCUGUAGUUAACUUAUUUAUAAACUUAUUUGAGUGUGUUCGAGAUUCAUGUUUUUAAAAAGUCAUAGUGAAAUAACUUGGCAGCUAGUUUGGAAAUCAGAAAGCUUAAAAUUGUUUUAAUCACAGCGGAUAUAACUAGAUGAAGUAUAUCAUAACCAUCAUUGCACAUAUUUUAGAAAACGUCAUGCCAUAUAUCUGACUUUUCAUGUUAUGGAAACCUAGCCGUAUACGAGGAUGGGCAUCCUAGGGGAUUAAGAUGUGGAGACGGAUAAUAAAAUGUUGAAAAUGUUUAGGGUGGUUACUGAAGGCAAAUAUGUAAUUAGUAACUCCUUGUUCGUUGGUGCGGAGUGUAUACUGAACACAAAUAUAAACGCAACAAUUCAAUAUUUUACUGAGUUAGUUCAUAGAAGAACAUCAGUCAAUUGAAAUAAAUUCAUUAGGCCCUAAUCUAUGGAUUUCACGACUGGAAUACAGAUUCAUAUGUUGGUCACAGAUACCGUAAAAAAAAUGGGCCUCAGGAACACCUCACGGUAUCUCUGCAUUCAAAUGGCCACCUGUAAAAUGCAAUUGUGUUUGUUGUCUGGUAGCUUAUGCCUGCCCACACCAUAACCCCACCACCAUGGGGCAUUCUGUUCAAAACGCUGACAUCAGCAAACCACUCGCCCACACGACGCCAUGCAUGUGGUCUGCGGUUGUGAGGCCGGUUGGACAUACUGCCCAAAAAAAUGAAAUUACGGAGGCGGCUUAUGGUAGAGAAAUUAACAUUCAAUUCUUGGCAAAGGAGAAAUGCUCACUAACAGGGAUGUAAACAAAUUUUUAUACAACAUUUGAGAGAAAAAAGCUUUUUGUUCGUAUGGAACAUUUCUGGGAUCUUUUAUUUCAGCUCAUGAAACAUGGGACCAACACUUUACAUGUUGCAUGUAUAUUUCUGUUCAGUGUAUAAUGUGUGAAUAUAUGUAGCUAUAGAAACCAGAGGUGGCUGGUGGGAGAAGCUAUAGGAGGACAGGCUCAUUGGAAUGGAACUGAGUCAAAUCUGUGGUUUCCAUAUGUUUGAUACCGUUCCAUUUAUUCCAUUCCAGCCAUUGCAAUGAGCCCGUCCUCCUAUUG